rnacentral:rRNA from 1 species
CAAACUGGAGAUGGCGACCGGCGCACGGGUGAGUAACACGUAUCCAACCUGCCGAUAACUCGGGGAUAGCCUUUCGAAAGAAAGAUUAAUACCCGAUGGCAUAAUAGAACCGCAUGGUUUGAUUAUUAAAAGAAUUUCGGUUAUCGAUGGGGAUGCGUUCCAUUAGGCAGUUGGUGGGGUAACGGCCCACCAAACCUUCGAUGGAUAGGGGUUCUGAGAGGAAGGUCCCCCACAUUGGAACUGAGACACGGUCCAAACUCCUACGGGAGGCAGCAUG